GGUGGCUCAGUGGUAGGGCACUUGCCUUUCAUGCAUGAGGUCCUGGGUUCGGUUCCUCAGUACCA
rnacentral:tRNA from 1 species